rnacentral:rRNA from 1 species
UACGGAGGGUGCAAGCGUUAUCCGGAAUCAUUGGGUUUAAAGGGUCCGCAGGCGGACGUAUAAGUCAGUGGUGAAAGCCUACAGCUCAACUGUAGAACUGCCAUUGAUACUGUACAUCUUGAAUUCGGUCGAAGUGGGCGGAAUAUGACAUGUAGCGGUGAAAUGCUUAGAUAUGUCAUAGAACACCGAUAGCGAAGGCAGCUCACUAGGCCUGGAUUGACGCUCAUGGACGAAAGCGUGGGGAGCAAACAGG